GAAAUUGUGAAAUUACUUUUUCUUAUUCAUUUGCGGAUUCCAAAUAAUAAAAAUAGAAUCGAAGGUCGGCGUUCCUUUAUUGUAAGAGAUAAUGAGAACGAUGAUAAUUAAACAACCGCUAAUUAUAAUCUUAUCGAUUGCUAAUGAAUUCAUACUGACGUGAAUUAAUUUUCAUUUGUUUCCUUCCCCUUUCCUCUCGUUGUCACGUAUUUCUUCGAUGCUUCGACAAGCUCAAAUGGAAAUGGUGAUUCAUGAGACUUUCAUGAAUGAAACAAUGAUUAUAAAAUCGAAUGGAAUACGAGCAAUGAAUCCAGGUACCAACCUUCUACUGAUCUACACUGACCGUCUACACACUGACCUUGACUUACUUAAAAAUCCAAUAAAUAAAAGUGAAUUCUUCAGUUAGAUCAAGAUAUAUAUCAAGUUAGUCAUCAUCAUUGCACAUACAGUGAAGUUCAUCCCACCGUACCAACUACGCUAUUUUUAUCAAAC
rnacentral:misc_RNA from 1 species